UGUUGUUUUCUCGAAAAUCAAUUAAAAAGAGUUUGAUUUUGUUGUGUAUUGACCUUAACAGCUUGCAUUUCAAUUUUCUUGCUUUUUUUAAUGCACUUUUCGUUUAACAAGUCAACAUCAGUUUCUUUUGUUGUAAAAAGGUCAUUGGAAGGUGGCUUUCUUUUCGGAGAAAGUGUUUAUAGCCUUUGACUCCUGCAAUCGGAGAGACUGAGGUCUGCAGCGUAGAUCCUUCGGGGUUAGAUACAUUUGUGCUAAGUUAUAGCCUUUCAUAGACAACUUGUUGACUAUGAUCAGUCUUGUAGCUUACUCGCUUAUGCUAUUUUACCUAC
rnacentral:rRNA from 1 species